GACAGAGGAUGCAAGCGUUAUCCGGAAUGAUUGGGCGUAAAGAGCGUGUAGGCGGCUUGGUAAGUCCGCUGUGAAAGUCCAGGGCUCAACCCUGGAAUGCCGGUGGAAACUGUCAAGCUUGAGUCCGGAAGAGGCGAGUGGAAUUCCUGGUGUAGCGGUGAAAUGCGCAGAUAUCAGGAGGAACACCAAUGGCGAAGGCAGCUCGCUGGGACGGUACUGACGCUGAGACGCGAAAGCGUGGGGAGCAAACAGG
rnacentral:rRNA from 1 species